AGAUCAGAAUUUUAUUACUGUCACAGACCAGCAAGAUCAAAAUUAAAAUUUUACAGUAUUCAGACAGCAAAAGCUCCAGGAGAAAGUGAUCUGUGUGACCAGGAUAUUUCUUUAACAAAGUCCACAGAUUUCUACUUUGUUCCACACACUAUUUAACAUCUGCAUGGGAAGACUGGCUGGAAAUGUAGGACGUGGCGUCAUCAACUCUGAACCUCUCUCAUUCUCAUCAGACUCCAGGGAGGAGGUGGAGGUCUUGAAUCAGUGUCCUAGAUGGAGCAGAGGUGGAUUUAGAGUU